UCCCUGCUUGGCUAAGCGCUGCCCUGUCCUCCAGGUUUGCGGCUCCACAAACGAUUCUCAGGUGGAUUCAAUCCCUUCAAGCGAGGAGUGGCGGGCGAGGCUCACGCGGGUCAAUAGGCAGACCCUAUUAAUCAAUGCCAGAUACAUGAGAAUGGAAGGACAGAACAGAGCCCUGUUCUUCAUCCAGAUGGAGCAAUAAUUAUUCAUUCACACCUACGAGGACAACAAAGAUAUGAGCUGUUUGAUUAAAGCAGUGUAGCUGGCGCUAUUUAGUUUAGAACACCCAGAGUUUAAACGUUUCCAUGGCAACGCCAGAGAGUCUGGAUGGUUUAGAGCAGUGGUCCUCAAUAGGCGGCCCAUGGGCCAUGUGCGGCCCGCGGGCCGCCUCUUUGUGGCCCCCGAACCCCACACGCACACUGCGGUAUUUUCAAAAGGAUGGCGGAUCAGAAGCUGGCAGCGACUUCGGGAGCAAAGUUCAAGUUUAAAAGAAGAUCCAGACGUGGAUGGAGGGCUGGAGCAGACCCGUGGCUGGACGUUUCUGGUCAGAGGAACAUCAUACAGGACGGUCUGCAGAGAGAGCUUUGGGACGCUUCCUCUCACUGUCCACUCCAUCAUCCAUCUACAGGGCCUGCUGGGCUGGCUCAGACGACGCCUGUUACAUCUCUGUGAAUGACUUGCCUGUUAACAGCAGUGGUGGUCUGCUGGUACCUCCUCCAGGACAGAGCACCACUGACCUCCUCCACACACAUCUUCCUCACGCUCAUCCUGCAGACCCACAACUUCACCAGCACAGAGGCAGAUGUGCAGCACAGUGCAUGCUGACCUGUAAUAGAUUAAGCUUUUUUAAUAGAAAAAUGUAAAACAAACAUAACCUGCAGUACACUGGUUCUGUUCAGUUUAAAGAAAAGCAGCAGGGAAAACUACAGAGAAUUUACAUUUUUAAGACAGAUCUGAUCAUUAUUAGGCUUAAGUUGAAUAAAAAAAUGCACACUGAAAACAAUUCAAUGCUAUUUUAUUUAAAAGCCUGUUUUUAAAGCAUUUUACCCCCAUUUGAUGCAAAAUAAGUUCUAAGGUCCAAUAUACAUUAGAAAACAUCCUACUGCAUUCAACAUUUAUAAUGCAUUUGGUUUAUAUUAAUAAUACUCUGUAGAAAUGUGUAUGUUUAACAAGUUCAUUCUGUAGCUUAAAACAUACAUGAAACCAUCUAAAGUUAACAAGUAAGUCCUGAAAGCUUCUAGAAUAAACAAAAUUACUUUAGCUGAAAACGGUUGUGAACAAACGCUGCUGAUGGACGUGAAGCUGCUGUAGCUCCUUAAUAUUCCUGCUCCAUUUUCGCUAUCUUUAGCAUUUUUCCUUUGCGCGUAGCUGCCGCCACGGCUGUGACGGGACCUACGGGCCACCGUAGAGGUGAGGGCUAGACUGUCCGAAUUCAGAGCCGCUGAGUUUUGGUUUUAGCGGUCUUCAAGGACCCGGCCUUGCUAGACCGGCAAGGACCCGUACUCGUAAGCAUCCUUCCCGUGGAUUCGGACACACCCUUAGACCCGCUCCCAUGUAUUUUAGAACAGCUUUCUAUGCUUAUAUAUUAUGAAACUGCCAAUAUUUUUCAUCAACUGGGCAUCUCUUAAUUAAACUACAACAUCAUUUUGAUGGAUAUUUCCGGAGGGUAAUGGUAAAAACUAUACAUUGUCACUUUAAUACUAAAUAUGCUGGAUUUAGCAAGAAGCUAGCUUUCAUCUGUAGUCCCCUCGACACACAUAUACAGUACAACAUGGAUUAAAUAUAAUAUGACACAAAACAAAAUUAAAGCAAGAUCAACUAAUUACACUAAAUCAAGACUAAAAAACAAAACAGCCAACUAAAAUUAUUCUCGCAGUUGAAAUGGACAAAAAAAAUAAAUUAAAAAAACUAACAUGAUCCAUCAUCUUAACCUUAAGGAAUUAAAAAUAGCUAUUAAACUCAAGAUAAUUAAUGACAGCACAUUGACCAGCCAUGCAUUUAGACUGGAAAGAGGUGCUGUCUUUUAUGGUGGUUGGUAGUUUAUUCCACUCACUGCAUCCCCUGAUCGACAGUGUGUUCUGUGAGAAUUUUGUUUUUUUAGAAUUAAUCACGCAGUCCCCUGUAAUCGUCAACCUAGUCUCUUUUAAGCCUGCUGAAAUCUCCAAACUGAACGUGCUAUUAAACAGUUUUGGCUGUGUGAAAACCUGCAUGAUGAAUUUUUUUUAUUAUCAUUAUUUUUACAACUGAAAGAGGAUAAAACUGAAAUCCUCUUUUGCUCACCUGAGAAGCUCAGCGCAGUUAGUGAGACACGAAGUCCAUUAGCCUCUUAUGUUAGGCCAACCAUUAGGAGUGUUGAAGUCAGUUAACUGCUUGUUUACCUUGGAUAACCAUGUUUUCUCACACUUGCUUUGCUCAUUUACGGAACAAUGCAAAACUGCAUAAUUUUGUCUCCAAACCAGAAUUGGAAGUUGUGGGCUUUUGUCUCCUCCAACCAUGACUAUUGUAACUCUUUGUUUUCCUGUCUGAAUUCUGCCUCUCUGGACCAUCUACAGGUUUUUUCAAAAUGCUUUUUACACAAACUCCCAAGUUCUCUAAUGCCAUGCAUCUAAAGGUGCCGUUUGUAAGAAUAUAUAUAGAAUUCUACAGUGAGGAAAUCCCAAAAGAGUCUAAUGUUUCAUUUUGGUAGGACUAUUAUCCUGAAACAUAUUUCAUAUCCAAAUGGCUGUGGUAAUUGUCAGUUUUUCUCCUUUCAAAACAAAGGAAAGAGGGACAUAACUACUGUUUAACAUCAGUGAGCGUGGGGUUGCCGUGUCUCCUGCGAGCUAAUACUGCAGCACCGACAAUUGUAAUUUAAACGUAACUCCACCCCUAGUCAAGAUUUGAAAAAUGCUAUGCAAGUGGGCAUUGUCAGGAGGCACUGAGUGGCAUGGCCAAGUGUGGGGAAUUUCCGUUUCGGGAGGGAGGGGGAGUGGGAGGAGACUGUACCGAUGGCCUGAAAUUGUUCCAGCCCCAGUCAAUCACAACUUUGAAAUGCAGUAGCCACAGUUCUGCCAUAGAGCUCCGGGAGUUGACUUCACUUCUCCUGGCAUGCAACAGUUCAAAUCGAAACGGCGCCAUAUUGGCAGGCAGAAGCCCGCAGCUGGGCUAUUUUUUAAUGUCAGAAAACUCAAUCAAAUGGGAAAUAUGGUAGAUUCCUGUUGGGCCCCAGGAUGCAGAACAGAUGCGGACGACAUACGGAAUGAGCCAUCUACAGGAUUCCCCAAGAUCCGGAACACCGCAAACGUUGGAUCAUUGUAAUAAAACGCUCUAGUGACCGUGCUAAAAUGAAACUGGGAUCCCGAGAGUAAAGGUUUUCGCUUAUGCAGCGACCGCUUCAUAUCAGGUACUUAAACCAACGUUUCCUCAACUGUGUGUGGUAUUUAUUUUAAAUGCUUUUAUUACGAUUCUUAGCGGGCUUCCUAAACUUAUUUUGGCGUGGCUUUUUCUGUCUUAUUACUCACAGCAACAAGUAAACGUCACGUAAAACGUUGCCUCGUGAGUUCUGCGUGCUGCCGUUUACGUGUUUUAUGAUGACAGCAAUUAACCGGCUAAGCUGUAUUUAAUUUUUAAGCAAUGGUUGAUCAAUUGUCAGAUCACACAUAAAAAGCACUUUGGAUUGCUAUUAUCUGUCUCACAGAGACGAAUCUCAGACAGAUCCUGAGACGCUCCUGCCUGACAUUUUUAUUUUAUUCACGGAAAAAAAUCAGACUAGUGAUUUCUCUUGGCGUUCAGUUUAUACAUUUAAACAGCACAGCACUCUAUUUAAACUACUUACGUGUAAAUCUGUUAUUUGUCCAUCCAUUUUCAUCCGCGUAUCCGGAGUCGGGUUGCGGGGGCAGUAGCGUCGA